GACGAACGCUGGCGGCGUGCUUAACACAUGCAAGUCGAACGGAAAGGCCCUGCUUUUGUGGGGUGCUCGAGUGGCGAACGGGUGAGUAACACGUGAGUAACCUGCCCUUGUCUUUGGGAUAACUUCAGGAAACUGGGGCUAAUACCGGAUAGGAGCUCCUGCUGCAUGGUGGGGGUUGGAAAGUUUCGGCGGUUGGGGAUGGACUCGCGGCUUAUCAGCUUGUUGGUGGGGUAGUGGCUUACCAAGGCUUUGACGGGUAGCCGGCCUGAGAGGGUGACCGGCCACAUUGGGACUGAGAUACGGCCCAGACUCCUACGGGAGGCAGAAGUGGGGAAUAUUGCACAAUGGGCGGAAGCCUGAUGCAGCAACGCCGCGUGCGGGAUGACGGCCUUCGGGUUGUAAACCGCUUUCGCCUGUGACGAAGCGUGAGUGACGGUAAUGGGUAAAGAAGCACCGGCUAACUACGUG
rnacentral:rRNA from 1 species